GGGAAGCCUAAACAUCAAAAAUAAUAUUGGACGUUUUAAUACGAAAUUUUAUAACGAGCUAUUGUUAGUUGAGAGUUAUAAAUGUCCAAAUUGAGAAAUCAUGCUUUUUUAUGUAAGCUUUUUAAAUUUUUCAAGUAUUAAGUUUGAAGAAUUUAAAUUUUUAACAUUUAGUGAAUUGAAUCAUCUAAGUAACUAAAAAAAAAAUCAACCGAGAUGUCGUAAGUAGUGGCGAGCGAAAGCGAUUAUAAGACUUUUUAUUCAAGUUAAAUGAUUUAUAUAAUGUAUUUAAUUUUUUAAAUAAGCCAGAGAAGGAAACAUAUAUGUAAAUGUAGCCCUGUAAAAUAUUUUUAUAUUUCUAUUUAGAAUAAUAUUAGUAAAAUGAUACAAGUCGUGUAUUGUUUAAACAGUGGGGGACCACCCUCAAGUCUAAAAAUUUUGAUGAUUGAUAGUGAACUAGUACCGUGAGGGAAAGGUGAAAUUAGAAUUUUUAUAUCUAAAAUUGAAAAGAUCCCGAAACUUAACGCUGACAAGCAGUUGAAGCUUUAAGUAAAUUUAAAAGUGACAGCGUACCUUUUGCAUAAUGGAUCAACGAGUUUAUUUGAGUGGCAAGCUUAAACUAUAUUUAAAGUGUAGGCGAAAAGAAAUUAAGUUUUAAAUUGCUUUUAAGUCUCUUGAAUAAGACCCGAAACUAAGUGAUCUAACCAUGAACAGGUUGAAUUUAUUAGCGGCAACGCUUAUUGGAGGACCGAACUCGUGUAUGUGGAAAAAUACUGAGAUGAUUUGUGGUUAGGGGUGAAAGGCCAAUCAAACUUAGAGAUAGCUGGUUUUCUGCGAAAUCUAUUUAAGUAGAGCGAUUAAAAACUUUGUUUUGUGGUAGAGCACUCGAUAAAUAAAGGGGGCGUAAAGCUUUACUGAAUUUAAUGAAACUUCGAAUACAAAAUAAAAGAUUUUGAUCAGACAGACUUUGAAUGCUAAGGUUCUAAGUCAAGAGGGAAACAGCCCAGACUAUUCGUUAAGGUCCUUAAAAAUAAUUAAGUGAGAAAAUUGUGAAAAAUUUAAAACAAUCAGUAGGUAGGCUUGGAAGCAGCCAUCCUUUAAAGAAAGCGUAACAGCUCACUGGUUUAGACUUUUUGCAUUGAAAAUGUAUAGGGGCUAAAAUUAUUUACCGAAACGAUAGAUUAUUAUAAUAUUUUAAUGGUAGCAGAACGUUCUGUAAAUCUAAGAAAAUUUAUGGUGACAUAGAUUGGAGAAAUCAGAAGUGAAAAUGUUGAUAUGAGUAGCGAUAAACAAUGUGUAAGUAAACAUUGUCGCCUUAAGUCCAAGGUUUCCAAGGGAAGGCUAAUCCUCCUUGGGUAAAUCGGUCCCUAAGAAUAUGACGAAAGUUAGUAUUAUUGUUCAAUGGGUAAAUAAGAAUUAUUUUUCUUGUAUUUAUAUAAUAAUAAGGUGACGAAAUAUAAAGAUUAUUUUUAUUAAAUGGUUAUUGUAAUAAAAGUUUUUUAAUAUUUCCAGGAAAUAGCCCUAUAAUUAAUUUAUAAAUAAACCGUACUCCAAACCGACACAGGUGGACAAAUUUAGCAAAUUAAGGCGCUUGAGUGAAUUGUGUUGAAGGAACUCGGCAAAAUUACUCCGUAACUUCGGGAGAAGGAGUAGCUUUUAAAGGGCAACCUUUAAAAGCUGUCACAAAAUCAAGGACAGCGACUGGUUAAUAAAACCACAAGUCUCUGCUAAUUUGUAAAAAGAAGUAUAGAGACUGACGCCUGCCCGGUGCUGCAAGAAUAAUAGAAAAAGUUUAGGCUUUGACUAGAAACCCCAGUAAACGGCGGCUGUAACUCUGACGGUCCAAAGGUAGCGAAAUUCCUUGGCAUUUAAUUGGUGUCCUGCAUGAAUGGCGUAACGACUGUCCUACUGUCUCCAACACAACCUCAGUGAAAUUGAAUUCUCCGUGAAGAUGCGGAGUUCCUGCGGCUAGACGGAAAGACCCCGUGCACCUUUACUAUAGUUACGUAUUGUAAUGAAAAAUUUUAUGUGUAGAAUAUGUGGGAAGUUUUAGAUUUUUGCGCAAGCAAAUUGUUUAAACAUCUGUGAAAUACCACUCUUAAAAUUUUUUAUUACUAAUUUUUUAAGACAUUGCGUAAUGGGUAGUUUGACUGGGGCGGUCGCCUCCUAAAGAGUAACGGAGGCGUACAAAGGUAAGUUCAAAUUAAAUAAUUAUUAAUUGUAGAGCGUAAUAGUAUAUUGCUUGCUUGACUGUAAGAUUGACAUAUCGAGCAGGGACGAAAGUCGGUUAUAGUGAUCCGGUGAUUCUGUGUGGAAAAGAUCAUCGCUCAACGGAUAAAAGGUACGCCGGGGAUAACAGGCUAAUCACCCCCUAGAGACCCUAUCGACGGGGUGGUUUGGCACCUCGAUGUUGGAUUAUCGCAUCCUGGAACUGAAAAUGGUUCCAAGGGUUUGGCUGUUCGCCAAGUAAGGCGGUACAUGAUCUGAGUUUAGAACGUCGUGAGACAGUUUGGUCCCUAUCUACCGCAGGUGUAAAAAAAUUGAGAGGAUUAAACCCUAGUACGAGAGGACCGGGAAAAGUAAACCUAUGGUGUAUCGAUUGUUGUACCCACGGCAUAGUCGAGUAGCUAUGUUUAUAAUAGAUAAUCGCUGAAAGCAUCUAAGCGAGAAACUAGCCUCAAAACUAAUUUUUUUAAAGAUGUAAUAGAUUAUUACUUUAAGAUAGGCUUAAUGUGUAAGAAUUGUAAAAUUUUUAGCUAAUAAGUACUAAUUUCUUUUAUAUUUAUAUAAUUU
rnacentral:rRNA from 1 species